AUCAAUACUCUCUUCUUUUAGAGAUAGUUCUACUAGCUGCGGAUAACUGAGGAACAGAGCGUAUAGGAGCAUCUUAGCUACUUCCAAAAAAUCCUCAAAAUAGAUGAGAUUACCACGGCGAUUCUUCAGAACGAGAGUCUCAGAAGGGAGGAUCCAGCAUCGAGCUCAGGUGGCAACACCUCAGCUUUGAUAGUUUCUAAAGGAGCAGGAGGUGGUAGACAGAGUGACAGGAGGGAGUAUCUGGCCAGAGAUUGCCCUCAGUCCAAGAUGAGGUUACUGCAGAUGAGGUUACCGCGGCGAUUCUUGAUGGACGAGGUUAUCGCGGCGAUUCUCCAGACAAAGCUGGAUUCUCUCUCAUCCAUCUUAAUGGAGGAGUUUAGAGCGAGGUGGAGCUCCAGAUGGAGAUGGAUCGGACACUAGAUGGGAGACUCGAGAGGAUGAGAGGUGAUGUCGCAGGGUGAGAUUUCUAUUACCGCAAAAGACUUCCUCGAGUAGGUCUUUGGUCAGAGUAGACAACCCAUGAUGGAGGUGGGAUCGAGUGGUCUGAUUCGACUCCCAUAUUUGCCCAUCCAUGAGACAGUAGGCAUGCCCCAGGAUGUGGAGGUGAGAGAGAUCACAUGCUCUCAAAGACAGAUAGAGGCUGAAUAUCAAGUCGAGAUGGAGAUUGUUAGAAAAUAUGCCUCAAGAUUCGAUCCAUAUUGAGCACAUAGCGAGAUCCAGGACGACAAACGAAGUCCAACGACCCCA
rnacentral:lncRNA from 1 species